UUGCUGUGAUGACCCUAUUCAAGAUUGAUGGCAUUCAUAGUAUGUCUUAUGAGACUUCGGCAGAAAUGUCGAACCUGAGCGGUUACCUGAGCAA